UGCGAGUGUUUGAACGGAAUCCUGCUUUCGAUAUCGGGAUAGGAACAACGCAUGCAAAUGGACGCUCUACGGUCAUGGUGGGAGAUUCCCAGCAUCGCACAUUUCUGCUCGCUGUUCCGAGCUGCUUUCCAACUACCAGACUUCGACAUAGAGGACCUUGAAGAUGGAUUUCUUGCUGCAGCCAGUGAAGAAGGCAGUCCAUUUCUUGAGGACCUGUUCUGCCGACUCCUACAGGGAUGCUACGGCCGGGAUG